rnacentral:misc_RNA from 1 species
UUGCUUUAUUUUGUAUAAUACUCAGACACGACACGAUUUGUUCAGGGUUUUGGUUUGUAGGGCACCGGCGGGCGCUGGCCAGAGGGCGUGUGACGGCCCCCCGGCGGCCGUGAGGCGGGCCCGCCGAAGCAACAAAGGUUGGGUAAACAUAGGGUUGGGAGGUCGGGCCUAAGAGACCCUUACUCUUUAAUGAUCCUUCCGCAGGUUCACCUACGGAAA